GUAGAAACAACAAAAUUCCAAAACAACUCAAAAUGUUCAAAUUUGUCUUUGUUCUCAUUGCCGCCUUGUUCGCUGUGUCCAUGGCCAGCCCCUCGCCAUUGCCAGCACCAGCUCCAUUGCCCAGAGCUGCUCCCGGCCCCAAUCCAGCUCCUCAAUUCUAUUAUGGUACUCCC